AUGCCGUGGCAGACCGCUUCGGCCAUCGUUGCCCGCCCAUUGCCCGUCUGCGGCUCGCACGUCCUCAAGAUCGACGGCUACUCCCGCACCAAGGGCCUCGUCAACGGCAAAGGUGUCUCGUCCGAGAAGUUCGUCGUUGGGCGCCAUCGUUGGUACAUGAGGUACUUCCCUGACGGUUCCUCGGCAGGCCAAGCUGGUUGGAUAUCUAUCUACCUCUGUCUUGUGCACACUGAUAGUGUCGAUGAUCAAGUCCACGCCCGGUGCAAGAUCAGUUUGCUCGACCAGGACGGGGAGCCGGUGCCGUCGCGCGUCACGGACAGCCAAACAUGCCACACCUUCUCCAGCAACACAGGGCCAUGGGGCUGUCCUCAGCUCAUCACCAGGAAGGACUUGGAGGAGUCACUUUACCUCAAGGAUGAUGUUUUCAGUGUCAAGUGCGAGAUCACUGUGCCUAGGGAGAUCUUCACGGAGCCCAUCUCACUGCUGGUCAGCGCGCCACCGUCUGACAUGCACCGCCACUUUGGCCGGCUCCUCUCCAGCGGCGACGGGGCAGACGUCACGUUCGAGGUUGGAGGCGAGACGUUUGCGGCCCACAGGUGUGUGCUCGCCGCCCGGUCGUCGGUGUUCAUGGCGGAGCUGUUUGGGCCGAUGAAGGAGGAGGCUAAAGUGUUCAAGGCCAUGCUCCACUUCAUCUUCACAGACUCUCUGCCGCCCAUGGACGAUGAGCAGGAGGUGGUGGUCAUGGCCCAGCAUUUGCUUGUUGCGGCUGACACGUAUAACCUCGAGAGGCUCAAGUUGCUCUGCGUGGAGAAGCUCUGCAAUCACAUGGACGCAAGCCCCGCGGCGACUACGCUGGCAUUGGCGGAGCAGCACUCCUGUUGCGGGCUCAAGGACUUGUGCUUCAAGUUCCUUGCGUCCCCUGGAAAUAUCCUCAAGGCCGUUGUGGCGAACGACGGCUUCGAGCAUGUGAGGACCAGCUGCCCGUCUGUGCUAAGGAGCUCGUUGCCAAAAUUUCACCUUGAUUUGAGACAGGCACCGCCCUCUUUAGCUUGA
rnacentral:rRNA from 1 species